ACUGUGACUCCAGACAGUCCUGUAUUCACUGGAGAGACAGUCAACCUGACGUGUGUGAUUGAGACUUACAGUAACUGGAGACGGAGAAAUGGACUGACAUAUGACUGGAGAUAUGACUGGACAUAUUACCAGACACCUGAGUGGAGAUAUGAGUGGUAUAAAGACAGUGUAAUGUUACAGACGUCUGAUCGUUACACUGUAAACAGAAACACUCUCACUAUCAGAGGAGUAAUUACAUCUGAUCAGGAUCAGUACUGGUGUAGAGGACAGAGAGAUAAAAGACCAAACUCAUCACAAUCAAGAUCUGUUUCUCUCACUGUGAUCGAGAGACCAAAAGCUGUAGUGAAGGUGAGUCCAGAUGAGCGUGUGUUCAGAGGAGAGACAGUCACUCUCACAUGUGACAUACAGAGAGCAGGAGACAUUCAGUGGACAUACAGCUGGUUUAAAGAUGGAAACACUCACAAUCCAUACACAACAACAACAACAACAACAGCAGAGUUCAGUUUCAGUGCUGAUGAGUCUUACAGUGCUGUAUACAGCUGUAGAGGAGAGAGAUCAGACUCACAGAGAUCAGACAUCAGUGCUGCUGUUACACUGACUGUAUCAGAUAAACCGAAGCCGGCUCUGACUGUAAAAACCCCAGAGUUCAGUGUUCACUGGAGACAGAGUUACUCUGAGCUGUGAUGUGGGACAGUUAACUGGAUGGACAAUUCUCUGGAGAAAAGACUCAAACCCUGAAUCCACGGGUGAUGAAACUAAAACAAUCGAGUCUGUGAGCGUCUCUGAUGGAGGAGAG